rnacentral:sRNA from 1 species
UCUGGUUAAACAAUUUUGCCACAGGUGGCGC